AUGGCUUUUUUUAUAUCUCAGGAAAAGUAUAUCCAGGAUCUUCUUGCUCGUGCUGCUCUUACUGACGAGCGCAUUGUUGAGACUCCUAUGGAGCUCAAUGUUCACCUCCGUGCUACUGAUGGUGUUCCUCUCCCUGACCCGACGCGUUAUCGUCAUCUCGUUGGCAGUCUUGUCUAUCUUGCUGUCACUCGUCCGGACAUCUCUGAUCCGGUUCAUAUUCUGAGUCAGUUUGUCUCUGCUCCCACAUCGGUUCACUAUAGUCAUCUCCUUCGUGUUCUCCAAUAUCUUCGGGGCACGAUCUCUCACCGUCUAUUCUUUCCUAGCUCCAGUUCUUUACAGCUUCAGGCCUAUUCGAAUGCUACGUGGGCUAGUGAUCCUUCUGAUCGCCGUUCACUUUCUGCUUACUGUGUUUUUCUUGGUGGUUCUCUCAUUGCCUGGAAGACGAAGAAACAGAUUGCAGUUUCCCGUUCGAGUGCUGAGGCUGAGUUGCGAGCCAUGGCUCUUUUGACGGCAGAGGUGACUUGGUUACGGUGGUUACUUCAGGAUUUUGGUGCUUCUGUCACUACACCGACUCUGCUCUUAUCUGACAGUACAGGUGCUAUUAGCAUUGCGCGCGAUCCUGUGAAGCAUGAGCUCACCAAGCAUAUUGGUGUUGAUGCUUUCUAUGUGCGCGCUGCUGUGCAGGAUCAGGUUAUUGCUCUUCAGUAUGUGCCUUCCGAGUUACAGUUGGCGGAUUUCCUCACGAAGGCCCAGACUAGAGCACAACAUGGCUUUUAUCUCUCCAAACUCAGUGUUGUUCCUCCACCAUGA
rnacentral:rRNA from 1 species